rnacentral:rRNA from 1 species
AUGGGGAUCGAUUUAGCCAUGCUAGUCGCACGAGUUCAGACUCGUGGCGAAUAGCUCAGUAACACGUGGCCAAACUACCCUUCGGAACACAAUACCCUCGGGAAACUGAGGCUAAUAGUGUAUACCAUACCACCACUGGAAUGAGUGAUGUGCCAAACGCUCCGGCGCCGAAGGAUGUGGCUGCGGCCGAUUAGGUAGACGGUGGGGUAACGGCCCACCGUGCCAAUAAUCGGUAUGGGUCAUGAGAGUGAGAACCCAGAGACGGAAUCUGAGACAAGAUUCCGGGCCCUACGGGGCGCAGCAGGCGCGAAACCUUUACACUGCACGACAGUGCGAUAGGGGGAUCCCAAGUGCACAGGCAUAGCGCCUGUGCUUUUCGGUACCGUAAGGUGGUACCAGAAUAAGGGCUGGGCAAGACCGGUGCCAGCCGCCGCGGUAAUACCGGCAGCCCAAGUGAUGGCCGAUCUUAUUGGGCCUAAAGCGUCCGUAGCUGGCCGCGCAAGUCCAUCGGGAAAUCCACCUGCUCAACAGGUGGGCGCCCGGUAGAAACUGCGUGGCUUGGGACCGGAAGGCGCGACGGGUACGUCCGGGGUAGGAGUGAAAUCCCGUAAUCCUGGACGGACCGCCGAUGGCGAAAGCACGUCGCGAGGACGGAUCCGACAGUGAGGGACGAAAGCCAGGGUCUCGAACCGGAUUAGAU